UUCUCACCUUCAUCAUCUCUCUCUACACUCUCACUUCUCUCUACUCUCUCCCUUUCUAGAAGAUCCGGGGCUAACCUCCGGUGACCUUUCCGGUGAUUUUUUCAGCAAAGUUUUCAGGAAGUUCGAUUUGUGAAAAGUAUGUCGUUGCUACACGGAAAUGCUACUUAAUAGUCAGAAAACAGUCAAACACGGAACAUACUUUCACUUCCUCGAAAGCUAUGGUACUUGGAACACGACGGUGCUCCCUCCUUCGAGGUGGUUCCUGAACCUCUAAAUCACUGCCAUCUGGUCGACAACUGGAACACUUUCUACCUUGAAAAUGAUGAGGAUCAAAAGAAUUUGAUCCAUAAAAAUUGUUCGAACAGCAGGGAGAUGAAUUGUCGACAACAAGACGCAUGUUAACAAACUUUACUUUUGAGUCCCACAACUGACCCAUUGCUUGAUCAAUUGCAUCAGAAGCAGAUCUCGACAUCAUGUCAUAACCAGAAUGGUAAAGAUCUUGCCCUUUUGACAACGGAUAGGCCCAUGGAGGAGGUUUCGGUAAAAAUGCGUCUCCAUUAGCCAAUGAUAUUCCGCCCCUUGAAAGUUUCUGAGAAGUAGAGCCAUCCUUCACAGUGCUACUGAACAAAAUUAGUAACAAAGUGAGAAAACAAUUAAUACAUAGGUAGUCCACAUCAGCAGUUCAUGUAAAUAUGUGAUUACAUCACGGUUUCACUUUUCAAUACUUCAACACAUAUUAGGUAAGAUGCUUUCUCCCUGUAGUUAAGAAGAACAGCUUCGUCUUCUGGUAUAUGAACCACACAAUACAUUCCCUUCCCUACUGGAAAGCACACGCCUAUCAUGUAACCAAAACAAAUUCUCAAAAUGAGACAGCUGAACAUAAUAUG
rnacentral:lncRNA from 1 species